rnacentral:rRNA from 1 species
GUCGACGAUGAAUCUUCUAGCUUGCUAGAAGUGGAUUAGUGGCGCACGGGUGAGUAAUGCAUAGGUUAUGUGCCCUUUAGUCUGGGAUAGCCACUGGAAACGGUGAUUAAUACUGGAUACUCCCUACGGGGGAAAGUUUUUCGCUAAAGGAUCAGCCUAUGUCCUAUCAGCUUGUUGGUGAGGUAAUGGCUCACCAAGGCUAUGACGGGUAUCCGGCCUGAGAGGGUGAUCGGACACACUGGAACUGAGACACGGUCCAGACUCCUACGGGAGGCAGCAGUAGGGAAUAUUGCUCAAUGGGGGAAACCCUGAAGCAGCAACGCCGCGUGGAGGAUGAAGGUUUUAGGAUUGUAAACUCCUUUUGUUAGAGAAGAUUAUGACGGUAUCUAACGAAUAAGCACCGGCUAACUCCGUGCCAGCAGCCGCGGUAAUACGGAGGGUGCAAGCGUUACUCGGAAUCACUGGGCGUAAAGAGUGCGUAGGCGGGGUAAUAAGUCAGAUGUGAAAUCCUGUAGCUUAACUACAGAACUGCAUUUGAAACUGUUACUCUGGAGUGUGGGAGAGGUAGGUGGAAUUCUUGGUGUAGGGGUAAAAUCCGUAGAGAUCAAGAGGAAUACUCAUUGCGAAGGCGACCUGCUGGAACAUUACUGACGCUGAUGCACGAAAGCGUGGGGAGCAAACAGGAUUAGAUACCCUGGUAGUCCACGCCCUAAACGAUGGAUGCUAGUUGUUGCCUUGCUUGUCAGGGCAGUAAUGCAGCUAACGCAUUAAGCAUCCCGCCUGGGGAGUACGGUCGCAAGAUUAAAACUCAAAGGAAUAGACGGGGACCCGCACAAGCGGUGGAGCAUGUGGUUUAAUUCG